GACAGCAGUCGCCGCGGUAAUACGUAGGGUGCAAGCGUUAAUCGGAAUUACUGGGCGUAAAGCGUGCGUAGGCGGCUUUUUAAGUCGGAUGUGAAAUCCCUGAGCUUAACUUAGGAAUUGCAUUCGAUACUGGGAAGCUAGAGUAUGGGAGAGGAUGGUAGAAUUCCAGGUGUAGCGGUGAAAUGCGUAGAGAUCUGGAGGAAUACCGAUGGCGAAGGCAGCCAUCUGGCCUAAUACUGACGCUGAGGUACGAAAGCAUGGGGAGCAAACAGGAUUAGAUACCCCAGUAGUCCCUGUCUCUUAUAC
rnacentral:rRNA from 1 species